rnacentral:lncRNA from 1 species
AGUUCGUUUUUAGGGUAACAGGUUUUCAAUCAUAUAUUUCCCUCCUUCCUUCCUUCCUUCCUUCCUUCCUUCCUUCCUUCCUUCCUUCCUUCCUUCCUUCCUUCCUUCCUUCCUUCCUUCCUUCCUUCCUUCCUUCCUUCUUUCCUUUCUUCUUCUCUCUUCCUUCCUUCCUUCCUUCCUCUUCCUUCCUUCCUUCCUUCCUUCCUUCCUUCCUUCCUUCCUUCCUUCCUUCCUUCCUUCCUUCCUUCCUUCCUUCCUUCCUUCCUUCCUUCCUUCCUUCCUUCUUUCUUUUUUUCUUCUUUCUUUCUUUCUUUCUUUCUUUCUUUCUUUCUUUCUUUCUUUCUUUCUUUCUUUCUUUCUUUCUUUCUUUCUUUCUUUCUUUCUUUCUUUCUUUCUUUCUUUCUUUCUUUCUUUCUUUCUUUCUUUCUUUCUUUCUUUCUUUCUUUCUUUCUUUCUUUCUUUCUUUCUUUCUUUCUUUCUUUCUUUCUUUCUUUCCUUCCUCUAUCCCUCCCUCCUUCCUGCCUGCCUUCCUUCCUGCCUGCCUUCCUUCAUUCCUUCUUUUUCUGUAUAUUGGUAAAAAAAUUAAUGCAUCAUUAAUAAAGAUAAUAAAUGAGAUUCCUAACCAUUGAACUUGUUUUGGUCCUUGUAUGCAUUUUCUUGAAGAGCUUUGCUCCUUCAUUUAACAUUAGAUAAAAUAUAGAGAAGUUGCUUUGGAUCAACCUCAUCAUUCUCCUAACAUUUCACCUACAAACAAACCUGUGUGUUAUUCCUCUACUUUUGGCAGAAGAACAAAACCACCAAUUCAUCAACUAUGUACCCAAACUGCCAUCAAUUCACAUUGUUACUUUCUCUAUGCUGUUCUAUUUGAAGACAAAACUACUUUUUUCUUUGCCUAACCCACCAUUAUCACCUCCUGUGUCUAUAGCAUUGAAAUUUUAGACUAUAAUUGACAAGAAAAAUUCUAGCUCCCACAUGAGCAGGUGUGGGAACUCAUAACUCAUUUAUUUAUGCUCAAUAGAACCUGGUAUUAGGGCAAUAUCAAUACUUCUGACUCUCUCUGUGUAAACAAACGAAUUAGAGAGAAUUAAAUCUGUAAAGGACCUCAGAGAAAAUAUAAUACAAAUUCUUAAUUUUAUAGUUAAAAUUAAUUUGCAAGAAGUUAAGUGACUUAUUCAAGAUCAAAUCUAG